AAUAAGUGCAGCCAUGAGUUUCCGUGUCCAACUUUGGUCAUCUGUCUUAUUUGAAAUUUUUUUUAUAAUUAGUAUUUUUAUCGUUGUUAGAUUAUAAAACAUGAAUAGUACUUUAUACGUGACUUAUGUUUUUUAUUUUUUUUCAAAAAAAAAUUUGAAAUCAGACGGAUAAUUAAAAUUGGACAUUGAAACUUAUGGUUGCACUUAUU
rfam:Oryza sativa (indica cultivar-group) chromosome 6, whole genome shotgun sequence.